rnacentral:snoRNA from 1 species
GAGAUAUGAUGAAAUAUACUUUGGUCCGUGUUUCUGACUUAACCGUGACCGAUAAACCCUUACCAUUAUCUGAUCUC